UGCCGCUUCACAUGAGGGCUGCGCCCCUA
rnacentral:piRNA from 1 species